GACGAACGCUGGCGGCGUGCCUAAUACAUGCAAGUUGAGCGAUGAAGCUUGGUGCUUGCACCAAUUUGAAGAGCAGCGAACGGGUGAGUAACGCGUGGGGAAUCUGCCUUUGAGCGGGGGACAACAUUUGGAAACGAAUGCUAAUACCGCAUAAUAACUUUAAACAUAAGUUUUAAGUUUGAAAGAUGCAAUUGCAUCACUCAAAGAUGAUCCCGCGUUGUAUUAGCUAGUUGGUGAGGUAAAGGCUCACCAAGGCGAUGAUACAUAGCCGACCUGAGAGGGUGAUCGGCCACAUUGGGACUGAGACACGGCCCAAACUCCUACGGGAGGCAGCAGUAGGGAAUCUUCGGCAAUGGACGAAAGUCUGACCGAGCAACGCCGCGUGAGUGAAGAAGGGUGUCGGAUCGUAAAACUCUGUUGGUAGAGAAGAACGUUGGUGAGAGUGGAAAGCUCAUCAAGUGACGGUAACUACCCAGAAAGGGACGGCUAACUACGUG
rnacentral:rRNA from 1 species